rnacentral:rRNA from 1 species
GAUGAACGCUAGCGGCAGGCUUAACACAUGCAAGUCGAGGGGUAUAGUUCUUCGGAACUAGAGACCGGCGCACGGGUGCGUAACGCGUAUGCAAUCUACCUUUUGCAGAGGGAUAGCCCCAGAGAAAUUUGGAUUAAUACCUCAUAGUAUAGUACUUUGGCAUCAAGGAACUAUUAAAGUCACAACGGCAAAGAUGAGCAUGCGUCCCAUUAGCUAGUUGGUAAGGUAACGGCUUACCAAGGCUACGAUGGGUAGGGGUCCUGAGAGGGAGAUCCCCCACACUGGUACUGAGACACGGACCAGACUCCUACGGGAGGCAGCAGUGAGGAAUAUUGGUCAAUGGACGCAAGUCUGAACCAGCCAUGCCGCGUGCAGGAUGACGGUCCUAUGGAUUGUAAACUGCUUUUUGUACGAGAAGAAACAACAUUACGUGUAAUGUCUUGACGGUAUCGU